GACGCAUGCAGUGUUUUUACACCCAGUGAAAAAUGGACUAAUGGAAGCUUACAAUGAAGCAAAGUAUAUAAUAGCCUAUGUAAAAAAUGAAACAUGGCAAACCGUAAGAAAAAGCCCGGCAGCCAAUAGCGGACUGAAUAAAUGCGAAGAUGCAGCAGAAGAUGAGAGGGAGUGAAGAAGUGGAGGAGAAGGAGGAUGAGGAGGAGGAUAGAGAAAGAGAAAGAGAAAAUAACUGUUAAAGGCCCCUUCAGCCCCUUCAGCUAGAGGGAAGUGUAAGCAGGCCGAAUCAGAGAGCACAAUUUUUUAUGAAAUAGGGAAUUAUUUGAAAGCCAAAAAUCAAGCAAUAAAGUCUGAAGUCCCUGAUGACCGCAUCACAACAUUUUGUAAGAACAUAGAAAAUAAAGUAGAAUUCAGCACCUGGACAUUGCACUUGAUUUAGAGCAGCAGCUGGAGCUGGCCUGUCACCAUGCUACCGUGAGGGCAAUGCACCUCCUCUGCAUAUACAGGUGCUUCUCAAAAAAUGUGAAUAUCGGGGAAAGUUAUUUUAUUUGUUUUAAUCUUGUAAAAGUAUCCAGUAUCUCAAAAUAUUAUAAUAUUAUAUAAGACCAAUCAAAAAAAGCAUUUAUAAUACAGAAAAAGUAUGUUAAUUUAUGCACUCAAUACUUGGUCAGGCAAUCAUGGGGAAGACUGCCGACUUGUAGUCCAGAAGACACUCAUUGACAUCUUCCACAAGGAGGGUAAGCCACAGAAGGUCAUUGCUGAAAGGGCUGGCUGUUCGCAGAGUGCUGUAUCAAAGCAUAUUCAUGGAAAGUUGACUGGAAGGGAAAAGUGUGGUAGGAAAAGGUGCACAAGCAACAGGGAUGACCGUAGCCUUCAGAGGAUUGUCAAGCAAAGCCAAUUCAAGAACUUGGGGGAGCUUCACAAGGAGUGGAUUGAGGCUGGAGUCAGUGCAUAAAGAGCCACCACGCACAGACUUGUCCAGGAAAUGGGCUAUAAGUGUUGCAUUCCUAGCGUAAAGCCACUCCUGAACCGGAGACAACGUCAGAAGUGUCUUAGCUGGGCUAAGGAGAAAAAGAACUGGACUGUUGCUCAGUGGUCCAAAGUCCUCUUUUCAGAUGAAAGUAAAGUUUGCAUUUCAUUUGGAAAUCAAGGUCCCAGAGUCUAGAGGAAGAGUGGAAAGGCACAGAAAGUUGCUUGAAGUCCAGUGUGAAGUUUCCACAGUCAGUGAUGAUUUGGGAUGCCAUGUCACCUGCUGGUGUUGGUCCACUGUGUUUUAUGGAAUCCAGAGUCAAUGCUGACAAGCUUUAUGGAGAUGCUGAUUUAUUUUUCCAGCAGGACUUGGCACCUGCCCACAGUGCCAAAACUACUAGUAACUGGUUUGCUGACCAUGGUAUUACUGUGCUUGAUUGGCCAGCCUACUUGCCUGACCUGAACCCCAUAGAGAAUCUAUCGUGUAUUGUCAAGAGGAAGAUGAGAGACACCAGACCCAACAAUACAGACGAGUUGAACCCGGGCUUCCAUAACACCUCAGCAGAGCCACAGGUUGAUUGCCUCCAUGCCACGCCACAUUGAGGCAGUAAUUUGUGCAAAUGAGCCCCGACCAAGUAUUGAGUGCAUAAAUGAACAUACUUUUCAGAAGGUCGACAUUUCUGUAUUAUAAAUAAUUGGUCUUAUGUAAUAUUCUAUUAUUUUGAGAUACUGGAUUUGAGAUUUUCAUGAGCUGUAAGCCAUAAUCAUCAAGAUUAAAACAAAAAAAGGCUUGAAAUAUUCCACUUAAUGUGUAAUGAAUCUAGAAUAUAUAAAUGUUUCACUUUUUGAAUUCAAUUACUGAAAAUAAUGAACUUUUCCAUUCUAAUUUUUUUUCUUCUAAUAUUCUAAUUUUUGUAUUGUAUUUUUGUACUGUAUAUCCCCAGCAAUCUGCGGCUUACCAGCCAUUGUCAGGGGACUGGUAGUAGCAACUUUAUCUCUCAGCUUUGUUCUCGUAGGCUACCUUGCAAUUUAGCUACGAAUUAGACAGUGUUAAUGACAGUGGUUAAGGGCAGUCCGUUUGCCUGUUUUCAGUCAUUUUCAGCCCUUGAACCCCCAUGCACUCAAGUGUGCUGGGUGCAGAUGUGCAUAUAUAUUUAUUUGCACUAAAUGCAAGUACAAUAUGAUUGAAAACCAGACUCUUUGUUCAUCACCAUGCCUUCACAUAAUACUGUAUGUAGUAAUAUAACCCUUGCUUUACCCUACAGCUAGGACCAAAUGUGGUCAAACCCCUAAUAUAUUGUGUUUGAUCAUUAUGUCUUAAUUAAAAUGCCCAUAUUUGAUUCUUA